UACGUAGGGGGCAAGCGUUGUCCGGAAUCAUUGGGCGUAAAGAGCGUGUAGGCGGCUCGGUAAGUCCGCUGUGAAAGUCCAGGGCUCAACCCUGGAAUGCCGGUGGAAACUGUCGAGCUAGAGUCCGGAAGAGGCGAGUGGAAUUCCUGGUGUAGCGGUGAAAUGCGCAGAUAUCAGGAGGAACACCAAUGGCGAAGGCGGUUCGCUGGGCAUGUCCUGACGCUGAGGAGCGAAAGCGUGGGGAGCGAACAGG
rnacentral:rRNA from 1 species